UCUGAGAGGAUGAUCAGCCACACUGGAACUGAGACACGGUCCAGACUCCUACGGGAGGCAGCAGUGGGGAAUAUUGCACAAUGGGCGCAAGCCUGAUGCAGCCAUGCCGCGUGUGUGAAGAAGGCCUUCGGGUUGUAAAGCACUUUCAGUCGUGAGGAAGGUGGUGUAGUUAAUAGCUGCAUUAUUUGACGUUAGCGACAGAAGAAGCACCGGCUAACUCCGUGCCAGCAGCCGCGGUAAUACGGAGGGUGCGAGCGUUAAUCGGAAUUACUGGGCGUAAAGCGCAUGCAGGUGGUUUGUUAAGUCAGAUGUGAAAGCCCGGGGCUCAACCUCGGAAUAGCAUUUGAAACUGGCAGACUAGAGUACUGUAGAGGGGGGUAGAAUUUCAGGUGUAGCGGUGAAAUGCGUAGAGAUCUGAAGGAAUACCGGUGGCGAAGGCGGCCCCCUGGACAGAUACUGACACUCAGAUGCGAAAGCGUG
rnacentral:rRNA from 1 species